GGAAACUUGGCGAGCGUGAGCAUUAUUUUUGCAAAACAUUUUGUGUGUUUUGGCCACUACUUGUCUGCUCUGGCGCUUGUUUUCAGCAAUAGUAUCUUUUAUACUUUAGGUGCGUUGUUGUAGGAGCCUGUUGUCUAAUAUUUAUUCUUUAUACUCUAAAGAAUAAUAUUGUUUCUGAUGAGUUUCCUCCUGUGACACUGAAGUGAGGAUCAUAUUGUUAAUCAUGCUGGGUGUUGUUCUGUUUUUGUUUGAGCUUUGAUGAACAGGUCGUGGCCCCCUGAGGGCGGAACUUCCCACAUUGUGCCCUUUUUAGGAACAUGCUCUGCAGAAGGAGCCUGAUCUGCCAACAUGGGUUCUCUUGUUGACUGGUCAAUAAUGUGAAUGGGGAGGAGUUGGGAAUAGUCAUCUGUUUAAUAUGUCUUUGGGAGCCUCUCAGGAUAUAAAUGUAACCAGCAUGCAGCAUUCCCCUGCAGUCACACACAGACGAACGUGAAGUGUCUUGUCCAACGACAACCUUUCAAUAAGACGACCUGCUCUACCAUUGUUGCUCAAUACAAGUCGACGUGUCACGGGACGCCCCCAUCAGCGGCU
rnacentral:lncRNA from 1 species